rnacentral:rRNA from 1 species
UGCAACCUGAACUCAGAUGUGAUUACCCGCUAAACUUAAGCAUAUCAUUUAGCGGAGGAAAAGAAACUAACAAGGAUUCCCAAAGUAACGGCGAGUGAAUUGGGAACAGCCCAACGCUGAAUCUUACGAUAUGUGUAUCGUUAAGAAAUGUAGCGUAUAGGUAUGAUUGGCGAUUUGUGCUAUAUAUCCAAAGUUCCUUUGAUUGGGACCAUAAUCCUGAGAGGGUGCGAGACCUGUUCGGAUAAUAGAGCAAAUCGCAUGAUUAUACUAUGGAGUCGGGUUGCUUGAAAGUGCAGCCUUAAGUUGGUGAUAAACUUCAUCUAAGGCUAAAUAUUGACGCGAAUUCGAUAGCAAACAAGUACUGUGAAGGAAAGUUGCAAAGAACUUUGAAGAGAGAGUUCAAGAGAACGUGAAAUCGUUGAAGUGGAAACGGAGAGAAUUAAUAUAGUCUAGUGAAUAAAUGCUACAAAAUCGCAUACGAACGUAUGUGAUCUAGUAACAUGUAUGUCACUAACGACUACGCUGACAAUAUUGAUAGCACAUUCCGUACUGUGAUAAAUGAACAUGUUGCCCAUUAUUAUUAUAAUAGUGGUGUCAUAUGUUUUAACAGUUCGAGUUUGUUGCAAGAUGUGAUAUUAAUAUUUCAAUAGUGCAAAAUUUGAAUUCGUUUCAUUUUUUGCAAUGAUGUCAGUGUAAACGUUAAUCACCUCUCCGACCCGUCUUGAAACACGGACCGAGGAGUGUAACUUGUACGCGAGUCAAUAGGUGUGAUAAACCUAAUGGCGCAAUGAAAAUGAAGACACGUGUAAACGGUUGACAUGAGAGAUAUUUUUCUAUAUGUGUAUAUAGCAUAUAGAAAGUAUUGCAUCAUGGCCCUGUCUAAUCUGCAUGCAGAUGGGCAGAGGUAGAGCGUACAGGUUGCGACCCGAAAGAUGGUGAACUAUGCCUGAGCAGGAUGAAGUCAGAGGAAACUCUGAUGGAGGUCCGUAUCGGUUCUGACGUGCAAAUCGAUCGAUAGACUUGGGUAUAGGGGCGAAAGACUAAUCGAACCAUCUAGUAGCUGGUUCCCUCCGAAGUUUCCCCCAGGAUAGCUGGAGUUCAAAUAUAACAAUAUAUACAUAUACGGUUAUAUCCGGUAAAGCGAAUGAUUAGAGGAAUUGGGAUCGAAACGAUCUCAACCUAUUCUCAAACUUUCAAUGGGUAUGUUGUCACAGUUUCUUAUGGUGUCCUAAUGAACUGUUGACAUGAACGUGAGCUCCAAGUGGGCCAUUUUUGGUAAGCAGAACUGGCGCUGUGGGAUGAACCAAACGUUAGGCUAAGGUGCCUAACUUUUCGCUCAUUAGAUCCCAUAAAAGGCGUUGGUUGAUAUAGACAGCAGGACGGUGGCCAUGGAAGUCGGUAACCGCUAAGGAGUGUGUAACAACUCACCUGCCGAAUCAACUAGCCCUGAAAAUGGAUGGCGCUUGAGCGAAAGACCUAUACCUAACCAUUGUUGGCAUGUGCUUUAAUCGAUAAAGUGUUAAAGACUGGCCACAAUGAGUAGGAGGGUCGUAGCGGUUGCGUUGAAGGUUUUGGGUGUAGACCCAGCUGGAGCUACCGUUAGUGCAGAUCUCGGUGGUAGUAGCAAAUAUUUAAGUUCGAUCCUUGAAGACUGAAGUGGAGAAGGGUUCCACGUGAACAGUAGUUGAAUGUGGGUCAGUCGAUCCUAAGAUACUGGCUUAUGCCUUGUAUCAUUAUAAGAGAAAAGUUUACGCUUUUCUUUUAUUGAUAUCGAAAGGGAAUAGGGUUAAUAUUCCCUAACGUAGACACAGAGAUUGUGAUUCGUUAUGAAUCAUUUGCGCGGUAACGCAUUCGAACUUGGUGAACGUCGUUCGAAAAUCGAGCUAGAGUUCUCUUCUCUAGUUAAGGAACGGACUCCCUGGAAUCGGUUCAGCCGUAGAUAGGGACGUUGUUUCCGUAAAGCAAUCGCGGUUUCUGUGAUGUCUCGUGUUUUUUGAACGAUCCAUGAAAAACCAAGGAAGGCUAUUAAUCUGUGCUACAUCGUACCGAUAUCCGCAUCAGGUCUCCAAGGUGAACAGCCUCUAGUCGAUAGAAUAAUGUAGGUAAGGGAAGUCGGCAAAUUUGAUCCGUAACUUCGGAAAAAGGAUUGGCUCCAGUGAUCGGGUCGAUUGGCCUGUUAAUUGAUGCUUGUACGGAUUUAUCCAUGACCGGCAUCACUUAUUAAUGUAUGUAUGUACAUUAAUAACGUUGACGUUGGACUAGUGAUAAGACCGUCUUGUGGACAUUUAUAGGUGUGUGCAUAGUUUUCGAACUAUGUAUCCUGAUCGACCAUCGAAAACGAUCGAACUGGAACUGGUACGGACUCGGGGAAUCCGACUGUCUAAUUAAAACAGAGGAGACAGAUGGUUCUUGCGAACGUUUACUGUCUCUGAUUUCUGCCCAGUGCUCUGAAUGUUAAAUCGUAGUAAUUCGAGUAAGCGCGGGUAAACGGCGGGAGUAA